rnacentral:rRNA from 13 species
UGACGAGUGGCGGACGGGUGAGUAAUGCUUGGGAACUUGCCUUUGCGAGGGGGAUAACAGUUGGAAACGACUGCUAAUACCGCAUAAUGUCUUCGGACCAAACGGGGCUUCGGCUCCGGCGCAAAGAGAGGCCCAAGUGAGAUUAGCUAGUUGGUAAGGUAACGGCUUACCAAGGCGACGAUCUCUAGCUGUUCUGAGAGGAAGAUCAGCCACACUGGGACUGAGAC